AUCUUAAAUUCGUUGGCUAUCUGAAAUGUAGUAAGUUUCCUACACUUAGGCUUUACGCUGCAAUAUGAAAAGUUAAAACACAAAAUCUCUCACUGGAAAGGCAUGACUAUACAUUUGGUACACACGCAAGCUUAGCAUUAAAUAAACAGUGUACUAUCCAGGCAAGUGGUUUUAUGUACACUCACAUACACACAAUCUAAAUUCUUAAAGUACUAGAAACCUACACAUUCAUUACAGGAUCAAUAAAUCCUCAGACCUAAAAUGUACUGAAAAGAAGAUGAGCUCAGUUUUCCCCUCCAAUUAUCCAACUCAGAAGACAGUAGAAACAAGAACUCCACAACUAAAAAACUGGCAGUCAACUCCUUUUUCCUCUCUUGGAGGCUUUAAAUUAUAAAAAAAAAGGUCUUAAUGGCAAAAGUUAACUUCCAAGUACACACUUGAAAGAUAUAGUAAAUCAUCAAUAUGUCUCAGUCCUUAAAUAAUUUCUAAAUGCAUAAACAAUU